GCGGCGGACGGGUGAGUAACACGUGGGUAACCUGCCCAUAAGACUGGGAUAACUCCGGGAAACCGGGGCUAAUACCGGAUAACAUUUUGAACCGCAUGGUUCGAAAUUGAAAGGCGGCUUCGGCUGUCACUUAUGGAUGGACCCGCGUCGCAUUAGCUAGUUGGUGAGGUAACGGCUCACCAAGGCAACGAUGCGUAGCCGACCUGAGAGGGUGAUCGGCCACACUGGGACUGAGACACGGCCCAGACUCCUACGGGAGGCAGCAGUAGGGAAUCUUCCGCAAUGGACGAAAGUCUGACGGAGCAACGCCGCGUGAGUGAUGAAGGCUUUCGGGUCGUAAAACUCUGUUGUUAGGGAAGAACAAGUGCUAGUUGAAUAAGCUGGCACCUUGACGGUACCUAACCAGAAAGCCACGGCUAACUACGUGCCAGCAGCCGCGGUAAUACGUAGGUGGCAAGCGUUAUCCGGAAUUAUUGGGCGUAAAGCGCGCGCAGGUGGUUUCUUAAGUCUGAUGUGAAAGCCCACGGCUCACCGUGGAGGGUCAUUGGAACUGGGAGACUUGAGUGCAGAAGAGAAAGUGA
rnacentral:rRNA from 1 species